GAUUAGAAAGCGAAUAUUUGCUCUUAGUUUCGGCCUAAGCCUUGGUUACUAAAACCUCUAAUU
rnacentral:tRNA from 1 species